rnacentral:rRNA from 1 species
UACGAAGGGGGCUAGCGUUGCUCGGAAUCACUGGGCGUAAAGGGCGCGUAGGCGGCCAUUUAAGUCGGGGGUGAAAGCCUGUGGCUCAACCACAGAAUUGCCUUUCGAUACUGGAUGGCUUGAGACCGGAAGAGGUAAGUGGAACUGCGAGUGUAGAGGUGAAAUUCGUAGAUAUUCGCAAGAACACCAGUGGCGAAGGCGGCUUACUGGUCCGGAUCUGACGCUGAGGCGCGAAAGCGUGGGGAGCAAACAGGAUAG